rnacentral:lncRNA from 1 species
CCUCCUCACCAGCCUCACCAGCCACACCCCCACCUCUGCCAUCACGUGCGACACAGAGGCUCACAGAAAAGGGCGCCUGCGCGGUCUUCAAUGCCAAACAAACCUUUGAGCGGAAUCGAGUUGUGAUGGAGGCUUUGGGUGGAGGGAACCUUCAGGGGCUUCCUUGCCCAUCUGCUUAUCUCAAAGCCAAAGCUAUGAAAGCCGUCUCCGUUCCCCCGAAUUAUCAGGGGAGGGGGAGAAAAGGAUUCUGUAUUUCAACGUCCUUCCUAGACUCCAAUCGCCACCUUUGUUGCUGCUAUUCAAGUAUUAAAGGUCAUAGCAGCUCGCCCGGCA